UACGGAGGGGGCUAGCGUUGUUCGGAAUUACUGGGCGUAAAGCGCACGUAGGCGGCUUUGUAAGUUAGAGGUGAAAGCCCGGGGCUCAACUCCAGAAUUGCCUUUAAGACUGCAUCGCUCGAAUUGUGGAGAGGUAAGUGGAAUUCCGAGUGUAGAGGUGAAAUUCGUAGAUAUUCGGAAGAACACCAGUGGCGAAGGCGGCUCACUGGACUGGUAUUGACGCUGAGGUGCGAAAGCGUGGGGAGCAAACAGG
rnacentral:rRNA from 1 species